AUGCGCAGUGUGCUUACUGAAGUCAGGCGCAGGCCCGUUAGAGGCAGUUCGUCCUUAUAGGUCAAGGGCCCCCAAAGGAAGGUCUUCUUUGUUCAGCAGUUGAUUUUAAUUUGCUUAAUGAAAACUUCAUCCGCAGAGCAGAGUGUUCUUCUAGGGCUCCUCAUUGUCCAAAGCAAACUGAAAGCCAGAGAUCAAGGAUGCUACUAGAUGGAGCUCAUAUAGGUCAUCCACUCAAAACACAGGGAAGGAUGAAGAAGAAUGGAUAAUAGAUCCUGGAUGUGAAAGGAAAAAAAAUUGUGACAUUCUGUUUUUAAUGAGAAUGUAUCAGUUCAAUCACUAUCAGUUUGCAGAUGUACAUUAAAUAAGAAUAAUAAGCAAGUUACUUGGUUUGAAUUAGAUAUGAUUACCAUAUAGCAUACUUACUUUCAAAAACCAGAAAACAGGUAAAGAAAACUUACAGUAAUAUGAGUGUCAUAACAAGACUGGAAAUGAAAAAUACUAUAAGUACUGUAAAUAGAGCAUAGAACAACUGAUGACAGAGUAAAUCAAUCUCUACGUUUAGCAAAAAUGUUUAUAACAAGAAGAAAGCAAAUGAAGAUUAUUUUCUUUUAAUCUUAAGAUUGAAAAGAAGGUAAUACUAACAGUAAAAAACAAAAUCUCUGUGUAAUGGUUUGUUUCACAUGCUUGUUCAACCCCAAAACUGGGGUUCUACAAAAUUCUCCCUAUUUAGCUCGACUGACCUGCAUAUCCAAUCUUAUGCGAUGCUGGUAUUGUCCUGAGUUCCACUGUCAUCAGUUAUCCACUCUGCAGCUGGACGGUGAUUACAUAGUGAAAAGUUGAUUACCAUUAGUUUUUAUAACUUCACUGUCUUUCAACUAGAUUCCUAAUUAUUUGUCCCUGUAUAUAUGAUUGUAUAAGUGUUUGCGGUAUUUUCCCCAUAAGAGUAAUUCUCUUUAGAGAUUCUCUCUGUUGAUUCAGAGCCAGUCUUGGCAGCUACACUAGUAAUUUUUCUUUAAUUUCAACAAAUGUUAUAGAAGAAGAUAUGCCAAGUUGUGACUUGUUCUUUUCCAGGUCUAAUUGGCUAUAUCCAAAAUAUAUCACAACUUCUGUCAAAGUGUCAAAUGUGAACAUAAAAACAAUCUCAAGUUUAGAUCCAAAGUGUUUGUAUUUGACUUAACAGGUUGUAGGAAAAUAUGUAAUAUUUUGAAGUCAUAGUAGGAACUGAGCUUUAGAGAAAUGAUUAAGAUGAUAAUAUGUUAUCUUAUUAUCAAAAAGAUUUGGGCAAUUUCAGAAUGGAAGUUGGCAGGGAAACUAUAAGUCAGAAAAGGUUUGAGUAUGUGAAAGGAACCAGGAACACACAAACCUCAAAGGAUUGAAAUAAUUAAAUUAUUUUUUAUACUACAUUUCCAUCAUAGUUCAGUGAAAAGUCUCUGCUCAUUGUGGUCUUUGAGAAAUGUAGGUGACAAAAGCUACAUCUCAAAACAUGCCACCAUGAUUACAGAAGCGGGGGACAGAAGAUAAGGUGAAUAGCACUAACGUGUCUGCCCAGAAUGAUGACACAUCACUUCAACUUAGGUUUUCUUGGGGUAAAUAAAAUAACAUGGCCAAGUCUAGUUCUUAUGGGAAAAGACUAAAAUUAUAUGUACAAAAAAGCAAAAUCAGGCACCCAAUGAGAAGACCGCACACAACUUUAGAGUCAAAUAAUAAGAGUAUUCUAAACAGAGUUGGUUGCAAUGAUAAUGUCAAGAAUAAAAUUGAUUAAAUAGGAAUUUUUAGGUACAAUCUGUAGGACAUGAGACAGUGUUUGCACUUUUGCUUAGAUCUAUUUUUAGUACGUACAUGUGUUUCCUCUUUGCUUCCUUACUUCUAACUUCAGCAUCUAAUACAGACUUGGCUACCAAUAGGGUAUGAGAGACAUAGAAUAAAAUUAACCAAAAAAAACUUUGCACCUCACAACCUGACUAUCCAAAUGGCUAUUGGUGCAAUUGUUUUAAAAGAAACAAUUUCUUGCUUCUUUUACAGGGAGCUCACUUUACAGAGGAGCUCACUUGAAGAAAAAAGAUACACUUUUAAAAAUUUUAUUUCAUUUCAUGUAUUUUACUUUAUUUUAUUCACAUAAAAUACACAGUUAACUUUAUUAGGCAUAAAGAAAAUACUUUUUUUCUACUCCCACACCCCUUCUUCAAGGAAAAUACAUAUUAAAAUCAGAAUUCAAUAAAGCCCAUAAUUUUUUGAGGCAGAAAAUGACAAUUUUUGGUAAGACUAUGGAGCAAUUGAUUUCUGUAUAUUGCUGGUAGGAACGUACGUUGAUACAAUUAUUUUGAGAAUUCUUUGGCAGUAUUUACUCAAACUGGACACACACCCACCUUAGGACCUAGCAAUUCCACACAUAACAACUGCAAUCAUGCAUUUAUUCUGCAAAAUAUAUGGACAAGAAUAUUCUGGCCCGCUUGGUGGUUCACUCUUGUAAUCCCAACACUUUGGGAGGCCGAGGCGGGAGGAUCACGAGGUCAAGGAGAUCGAAACCAUCCUGGCUAACACGGUGAAACUCCGUCUCUACUAAAAAUACAAAAAGUUAGUCGGGUGUGCUGGCAUGUGCCUGUAGUCCCAUCUAUUAGGGAAGCUGAGGCAGGAGAAUUGCUUCAACCCAGGAGGCAAAGGUUACAGUGAGCCAAGAUCGUGCCACUGUGCUUCAGCCUGGGCGACAGAGCGAGAUUCUGUCACACACACACACACACACACAAAUAUUCUUAGUAGUGCUAUUUAUAAUUUCCCAAAUCUGAAAACUACCCAAACGACCAAGAGCAGAAUGAAUAAAUAAAUUGUGCUAUUUUUUAUAAUGAAAUAUAAACAGUAAUAAGAAACAAACUAUAGCUGCACGUAAGAACAAAUUUCACAAACAUAUUGAAUGAAAAAAAGUCAUACACAAAAUAAUACAUUUUAGGUGAUUCCAUUAGUAUAAAGAUCAAAACCAGACAAAGCUAAUCUGUGAUGUAAAACAUCAGAAAAAGUGAUUUUCCUCUGGGAGAAUGAAAUGACUUGGAAGGUUUUCAAAAAUGUUUCUGGGUAUUGGUGGUGUUAUGUUUUUUGGUCUUGGUGCUGGGUUACAUGUAGUUUCUGUAAAUUUAUUUAUCUGUACAUUUUGUAUUGGUAUACUUUAUUAUGUUAUGCUUUAGCGGAAUUUUAUUAAUGUUAUACAUAUUUGAUUAAGAGUACUCAUAAAUUUAGUAAUAAAUAGUGUUUGUUUAUUUUG